rnacentral:rRNA from 1 species
UACGUAGGUGGCAAGCGUUGUUCGGAAUUACUGGGCGUAAAGCGCGUGUAGGCGGCUCUUCAAGUCAGGCGUGAAAGCCCCGGGCUUAACUCGGGAACUGCGCUUGAUACUGUCGAGCUAGAGUGUGGAAGGGGCGAUUGGAAUUCCGUGUGUAGCGGUGAAAUGCGCAGAUAUCAGGAAGAACACCCGUGGCGAAGGCGGCUCUCUGGUACGUGACUGACGCUGAGACGCGAAAGCGUGGGGAGCAAACAGG